CCGGACAGCCUUUGGCUGUCCGGGCAUGCUGGGAGUUGUAGUUUUGCAACAGCUGGAGGCACCCUGGUUGGGAAACACUGACAUAACAGUGAUUUACAGCUCCCAGCAGAUCUUUCUUACUUUUAUAUGAGCUUACAGUCUAUAAGGACUAUGGGGGAAGAUACAAGAGGUUAAUAGGUGAUUUUUGGAACAGUACUAGACCUUGGCUAGGUCUACUAUGGAAAAAGCCUCUUCAGAUGGAACGCUGUGCUCUUCAAUAAGGAUUCCAGAUCUUCGGAGGGUAGAUCGGUCGGCUCCAAUAACUGCAGAUCAAAUACAUUUUCUGGAUUGUGCGUAACCUUUGGAGAAAAA